CGAAUCCGCGCGGGAGAGUUCCGGACCACGGAGUGGGUCACCCACAGAGUGUGUCCGGGCGCCGAAGGAGCAAGACCCUCCCUUGAAUCUCUCAGGCCCCGUACCGCGUGGAUGAG
rnacentral:ncRNA from 2 species